GAUGAACGCUGGCGGCGUGCCUAAUACAUGCAAGUCGAGCGAACGGACGAGAAGCUUGCUUCUCUGAUGUUAGCGGCGGACGGGUGAGUAACACGUGGAUAACCUACCUAUAAGACUGGGAUAACUUCGGGAAACCGUAGCUAAUAACGGAUAAUAUUUUGAACCGCAUGGUUCAAAAGUGAAAGACGGUCUUGCUGUCACUUAUAGAUGGAUCCGCGCUGCAUUAGCUAGUUGGUAAGGUAACGGCUUACCAAGGCAACGAUGCAUAGCCGACCUGAGAGGAUGAUCGGCCACACUGGAACUGAGACACGGUCCAGACUCCUACGGGAGGCAGCAGUAGGGAAUCUUCCGCAAUGGGCGAAAGCCUGACGGAGCAACGCCGCGUGAGUGAUGAAGGUCUUCGGAUCGUAAAACUCUGUUAUUAGGGAAGAACAUAUGUGUAAGUAACUGUGCACAUCUUGACGGUACCUAAUCAGAAAGCCACGGCUAACUACGUG
rnacentral:rRNA from 1 species